GGGUAAGUCUUGUACGACCAGCUCCUGUUAAAUCCCCCAGGAUGGGAACAUAGCAAGGGUAGACGGUUGUAGCGGUGCGAUACAAGUAGCUUACCCACU
rnacentral:SRP_RNA from 1 species